rnacentral:rRNA from 1 species
UACGAAGGGGGCUAGCGUUGCUCGGAAUCACUGGGCGUAAAGCGCACGUAGGCGGACUUUUAAGUCAGGGGUGAAAUCCUGGAGCUCAACUCCAGAGCUGCCUUUGAUACUGGAAGUCUUGAGUCCGGAAGAGGUAAGUGGAACUGCGAGUGUAGAGGUGAAAUUCGUAGAUAUUCGCAAGAACACCAGUGGCGAAGGCGGCUUACUGGUCCGGUACUGACGCUGAGGUGCGAAAGCGUGGGGAGCAAACAGG